GACGAACGCUGGCGGCGUGCCUAAUACAUGCAAGUAGAACGCUGAAGGAGGAGCUUGCUUCUCUGGAUGAGUUGCGAACGGGUGAGUAACGCGUAGGUAACCUGCCUGGUAGCGGGGGAUAACUAUUGGAAACGAUAGCUAAUACCGCAUAAGAGUAGAUGUUGCAUGACAUUUGCUUAAAAGGUGCAAUUGCAUCACUACCAGAUGGACCUGCGUUGUAUUAGCUAGUUGGUGGGGUAACGGCUCACCAAGGCGACGAUACAUAGCCGACCUGAGAGGGUGAUCGGCCACACUGGGACUGAGACACGGCCCAGACUCCUACGGGAGGCAGCAGUAGGGAAUCUUCGGCAAUGGACGGAAGUCUGACCGAGCAACGCCGCGUGAGUGAAGAAGGUUUUCGGAUCGUAAAGCUCUGUUGUAAGAGAAGAACGAGUGUGAGAGUGGAAAGUUCACACUGUGACGGUAUCUUACCAGAAAGGGACGGCUAACUACGG
rnacentral:rRNA from 1 species